GAUGAACGCUGGCGGCGUGCCUAAUACAUGCAAGUCGAGCGAACGGACGAGAAGCUUGUUUCUCUGAUGUUAGCGGCGGACGGGUGAGUAACACGUGGAUAACCUACCUAUAAGACUGGGAUAAUUUCGGGAAACCGGAGCUAAUACCGGAUAAUAUUUUGAACCGCAUGGUUCAAAAGUGAAAGACGGUCUUGCUGUCACUUAUAGAUGGAUCCGCGCUGCAUUAGCUAGUUGGUAAGGUAACGGCUUACCAAGGCAACGAUGCAUAGCCGACCUGAGAGGGUGAUCGGCCACACUGGAACUGAGACACGGUCCAGACUCCUACGGGAGGCAGCAGUAGGGAAUCUUCCGCAAUGGGCGAAAGCCUGACGGAGCAACGCCGCGUGAGUGAUGAAGGUCUUCGGAUCGUAAAACUCUGUUAUUAGGGAAGAACAGAUGUGUAAGUAACUGUGCACAUCUUGACGGUACCUAAUCAGGAAGCCACGGCUAACUACGUG
rnacentral:rRNA from 1 species